UGUAUCUAUGGCCAGCACGUCUGGUAGCAUCUCUGGCUGCUGUUGACCUGGUUUUUUGAGUAAAACACGGUGGAAGCUGAAUUAGUGAGGAUGACUCCUGCUCCUGUCAUCUCUAAGCUCCUCCCACAUCUUUACCUGCACAUGAGGAAAAUCACUCCUGUAGAAUGCAGAUGUUCAGAGGGAGAUGAUGCCACAUCUGGUCCAGCUGAUGGAAGGUCUUGAAGUUCUCUGACUGGCCUCGACUGAAGAUGGUCGUCUCACUGGAUUUAAGGUUCAGAUGCUCAGUAACAAACUCCACCAAUGAGCCAACAGGGAAGCUUUAGGUUUAUUAAAUGUUGCUAUGAAGGUAUCACUGUUUUUCUUUGUGAAUGCAAUGUGCUCCAACUGAAAGUUGAAUUAGAACUUAGAAGUAAAUCCUUCCAUCUGAAAUGAUUUAGUUGCAUUAAUAACCUCAUAACAUUCUAAUUUUUAUUCCAGUCUUGGUUGGAAAUAGAAUCUCUGUAUUGAUUCAGGUAAAAACUGAACUUCACAGCAUGUUGGAGCAAAACAACCAGAUGAAAACUGUGAUGGUGUUGGAUUGUCAGACCAUAAUGUUGCAGCUCAAAGCAGCUUUUCUAGCUCAGUUCAUUCUGACAUUCAGCUAUGAAUCAACACAGCAGAUGGUGAUCCAUGCUGUGGAAGUCUCACAUCUCCUGAUUUAAUGGAGCUGCUUUACACUUUUUACACUGUUUAUUCACCAACUCUUUAUUUAAUAAAAGUCCCAUCUAGUUUUUAUGAGGAAUGUGAUGCUUUAAUUUCUCUGUGAAUAACUGCAGUCUAAUGGAACAGCUGGAGUUGUAACAUCUGUCCUGAUAUUGAUCAUGAAGUAUUGAUCAGAAUACUUAUGGUCAGCAGUCAUCCCUGAAGUUUUACAUUCAAAUCUUUACUUGUGUUGUGAACUUUGGUAAGAAGCAGAAACUUUAGCGUUGCCAUGGAUACAUGAGUGUUAAAUUCUGUCCAUGUUUCCAUUUUGGGAAAUUCAGUCCAGCAGAUGAGUUUGUUUUUACUGCCAGCUACAUUCAGUCUGAGAUAUUAAGAAUAAAUAAAUGUGCAUAAUGUGGAAAUGAACAGAUUAUGUUUUUAUUUAUUCCUACAGCUGGUGCUGUUUAGCUGAUUAAAGUUUAUGACUCUGCACUACAAUAUUAUUUAUUAUUUAAAU
ensembl:lncRNA